UACGUAGGGGGCAAGCGUUGUCCGGAAUCAUUGGGCGUAAAGCGCGCGUAGGCGGCCCGGUAAGUCCGCUGUAAAAGUCCAGGGCUCAACCCUGGAAAGCCGGUGGAUACUGUCGGGCUCGAGUCCGGAAGAGGCGAGUGGAAUUCCUGGUGUAGCGGUGGAAUGCGCAGAUAUCAGGAGGAACACCAAUAGCGAAGGCAGCUCGCUGGGACGUUACUGACACUGAGGCGCGAAAGCGUGGGGAGCGAACAGG
rnacentral:rRNA from 1 species